UCUCCUGAUUGGAUAAUACUUCUUUUUUCUAAACGCUGGAUAUGUUUCAAUAACUUUUAUCCUUUUUCAUGUAUUUCAGGUUCAUCAGGAGACAUUAUUGUGACUCAAAUUCCUGCAGCUCAGUCUGUUGUUUUAGGAGACAGGGUCAGCAUCAGAUGUAAAACCAGUCAGGAUGUUCACGUUUGGAGUGGUUACCAUCUUUUAGCCUGGUACCAACAGAAAGAUGGACAAACUCCUGAGCUCCUUAUUUAUCGUGCCAGCUAUCGAGCAUCAGGGACUCCAGAUCGUUUUACAGGCAGAGGAUCAAACUCUGACUUCAGUCUGACCAUCAGUAAUAUUCAGGCUGAAGAUGCUGCAGUUUAUUACUGUCAGAGUGAGCAUUAUAUUAACAGUCAGCAUCUGUUCACACAGUGAGAAACAGUCGUACAAAAACC